CGACCGGCGCACGGGUGAGUAACGCGUAUGCAACUUACCUAUCAGGAGGGGAGUAACCCGGCGAAAGUCGGACUAAUACCGCAUGAAGCAGGGGCCCCGCAUGGGGAUAUUUGCUAAAGAUUCAUCGCUGAUAGAUAGGCAUGCGUUCCAUUAGGCAGUUGGCGGGGUAACGGCCCACCAAACCGACGAUGGAUAGGGGUUCUGAGAGGAAGGUCCCCCACAUUGGUACUGAGACACGGACCAAACUCCUACGGAAGGCAGCAG
rnacentral:rRNA from 1 species